rnacentral:rRNA from 1 species
UACGUAGGGUGCAAGCGUUGUCCGGAAUUAUUGGGCGUAAAGAGCUCGUAGGCGGCUUGUCGCGUCGACUGUGAAAUCCCGCGGCUCAACCGCGGGUCUGCAGUCGAUACGGGCAGGCUAGAGUUCGGUAGGGGGAGACUGGAAUUCCUGGUGUAGCGGUGAAAUGCGCAGAUAUCAGGAGGAACACCGAUGGCGAAGGCAGGUCUCUGGGCCGAUACUGACGCUGAGGAGCGAAAGCGUGGGGAGCAAACAGG